rnacentral:rRNA from 1 species
AUGGAACGCUGGCGGCAUGCCUUACACAUGCAAGUCGAACGGCAGCGGGGACUUCGGUCCGCCGGCGAGUGGCGAACGGGUGAGUAAUGUAUCGGAACGUACCAUUGAGUGGGGGAUAACGUAGCGAAAGUUACGCUAAUACCGCAUAUUCUCUCCGGAGGAAAGCAGGGGACCGCAAGGCCUUGCGCUCUUUGAGCGGCCGAUAUCAGAUUAACUAGUUGGUGGGGUAAAAGCUCACCAAGGCGACGAUCUGUAGCGGGUCUGAGAGGAUGAUCGGCCACACUGGGACUGAGACACGGUCCAGACUCCUACGGGAGGCAGCAGUGGGGAAUGUUGGACAAUGGGGGCAACCCUGAUGCAGCCAUGCCGCGUGAGUGAAGAAGGCCUUCGGGUUGUAAAGCUCUUUCGGCCGGUAAAAAAUCGCAUGGAUUAAUACUCUGUGUGGAUGAUGGUACCGGAAUAAGAAGCACCGGCUAACUACGUGCCAGCCGCCGCGGUAACAC